rnacentral:rRNA from 1 species
UACGGGGGGGGGCAAGCGUUGUUCGGAAUUACUGGGCGUAAAGGGCGCGUAGGCGGUUCGCUAAGUUGGAUGUGAAAACUCUGGGCUCAACCCAGAGCCUGCAUCCAAAACUGGCGGGCUAGAGUUCUGGAGGGGAUAGCGGAAUUCCUGGUGUAGCGGUGAAAUGCGCAGAUAUCAGGAGGAACACCGGUGGCGAAGGCGGGUCUCUGGGCCAUAACUGACGCUGAGGAGCGAAAGCGUGGGGAGCAAACAGG